rnacentral:rRNA from 1 species
GACGAACGCUGGCGGCGUGCCUAAUACAUGCAAGUUGAGCGCUGAAGGUUGGUGCUUGUACCAACUGGAUUAGCAGCGGACGGGUGAGUAACGCGUGGGUAAUCUGCCUUUGAGCGUGGGACAACAUCGGGAAACGAAUGCUAAUACCGCAUAAAAACUUUAAACACAAGUUUCAAGUUUGAAAGAUGCAAUUGCAUUACUCAAAGAUGAUCCCGCGUUGUAUUAGCUAGUUGGUGAGGUAAAGGCUCACCAAGGCGAUGAUACAUAACCGACCUGAGAGGGUGAUCGGCCCAAUUGGGACUGGGACACGGCCCAAACUCCUUCGGGAGGCAGCAGUAGGGGAUCUUCGGCAAUGGACGAAAGUCUGACCGGGCAACGCCGCGUGAGUGAAGAAGGUUUUCGGAUCGUAAAACUCUGGUGGUAGGGAAGAACGUUGGUGGGAGUGGAAAGCUCAUCAAGUGACGGUAACUACCCAGAAAGCGACGGCUAACUACGUG